rnacentral:rRNA from 1 species
ACACUCCUGCGGGAGGCAGCAGUGGGGAAUUUUGGAUAAUGGGCGAAAGCCUGAUCCAGCAAUGCCGCGUGAGUGAAGAAGGCCUUCGGGUUGUAAAGCUCUUUUGUCAGGGAAGAAACGGUGAGAGCUAAUAUCUUUUGCUAAUGACGGUACCUGAAGAAUAAGCACCGGCUAACUACGUGCCAGCAGCCGCGGUAAUACGUAGGGUGCAAGCGUUAAUCGGAAUUACUGGGCGUAAAGCGUGCGCAGGCGGUUUUGUAAGUCUGAUGUGAAAUCCCCGGGCUCAACCUGGGAAUUGCAUUGGAGACUGCAAGGCUAGAAUCUGGCAGAGGGGGGUAGAAUUCCACGUGUAGCAGUGAAAUGCGUAGAUAUGUGGAGGAACACCGAUGGCGAAGGCAGCCCCCUGGGUCAAGAUUGACGCUCAUGCACGAAAGCGUGGGGAGCAAACAGGAUUAGAAACCCUUGUAGUCCC